CCAUGCAAGUCGAGCGAGGCAUGAUGUAGGAUUUAUCUUGUAUCAUGCUUAGCGGCGAACGGGUGAGUAACGCGUGGGCAACCUGCCUUGUACAGGGGGAUAACACCGGGAAACCGGUGCUAAUACCGCAUAAAGUAUAACCAUGACCUCAUGGAUAUACCAAAGGAGAAAUCCGGUACGAGAUGGGCCCGCGUCCGAUUAGCUAGUUGGUGGGGUAAUGGCCUACCAAGGCGACGAUCGGUAGCCGAACUGAGAGGUUGAUCGGCCACAUUGGGACUGAGACACGGCCCAGACUCCUACGGGAGGCAGCAGUGGGGAAUAUUGCGCAAUGGGGGGAACCCUGACGCAGCAACGCCGCGUGAAGGAUGAAGGUUUUCGGAUUGUAAACUUCUUUGAUGAGGGACGAAAAAAAUGACGGUACCUCAAAAACAAGCCACGGCUAACUACGUGCCAGCAGCCGCGGUAAUACGUAGGUGGCGAGCGUUGUCCGGAAUUACUGGGUGUAAAGGGCGUGUAG
rnacentral:rRNA from 1 species